ACGGUCCUAAGGUAGCGAAAUUCCUUGUCGGGUAAGUUCCGACCUGCACGAAUGGCAUAACGAUGGCCACACUGUCUCCUCCCGAGACUCAGUGAAGUUGAAAUGUUUGUGAUGAUGCAAUCUCCCCGCGGCUAGACGGAAAGACCCCAUGAACCUUUACUGCAGCUUUGCAUUGAACUGUGAACCGAUUUGUGUAGGAUAGGUGGGAGGCAGAGAAGAGGCCACGCCAGUGGUCUUGGAGCCGACCUUGAAAUACCACCCUGAUUUGUUUGCGGUUCUAACCACGGACAGUGAUCCUGUCUUGGGACCGUGCAUGGUAGGCAGUUUGACUGGGGCGGUCUCCUCCUAAAGGGUAACGGAGGAGUACGAAGGUACGCUAGGUACGGUCGGAAAUCGUGCUGAUAGUGCAAUGGCAAAAGCGUGCUUGACUGCGAGACCGACAAGUCGAGCAGAUACGAAAGUAGGUCAUAGUGAUCCGGUGGCUCUGAAUGGAAGGGCCAUCGCUCAACGGAUAAAAGGUACUCUGGGGAUAACAGGCUGAUACCGCCCAAGAGUUCAUAUCGACGGCGGUGUUUGGCACCUCGAUGUCGGCUCAUCUCAUCCUGGGGCUGUAGCCGGUCCCAAGGGUAUGGCUGUUCGCCAUUUAAAGAGGUACGUGAGCUGGGUUUAAAACGUCGUGAGACAGUUUGGUCCCUAUCUUCUGUGGGCGUAGGAGAAUUGAAAGGGCCUGUCCCUAGUACGAGAGGACCGGGAUGGACACACCACUGGUGGACCUGUUGUCGUGCCAACGGCACAGCAGGGUAGCUAUGUGUGGAAGGGAUAACCGCUGAAAGCAUCUAAGCGGGAAGCCUGCCUUAAGAUAAGUUCUCCCUGACGCAAGUCCUGAAGGGCCGAGGUAGACGACCUCGUUGAUAGGCUGGAGGUGGAAGCCCUGUGAGGGGUGGAGCUGACCAGUACUAAUAGCCCGUGCGUCUUGUUUCU
rnacentral:rRNA from 1 species